rnacentral:rRNA from 1 species
UACGGGGGGGGCAAGCGUUGUUCGGAAUUACUGGGCGUAAAGGGCUCGUAGGCGGCCAACUAAGUCAGACGUGAAAUCCCUCGGCUUAACCGGGGAACUGCAUCUGAUACUGGAUGGCUUGAGUUCGGGAGAGGGAUGCGGAAUUCCAGGUGUAGCGGUGAAAUGCGUAGAUAUCGAGAGGAACACCUGCGGCGAAGGCGGGUUGCUGGGCUGACACUGACGCUGAUGCGCGAAAGCCAGGGAGCGAAGCGGG